rnacentral:lncRNA from 1 species
UGAAGCAGAAUGUCUGGUCUAAUUUUCAGCUAUCAUUUUCUUUUUUACAACUACAUUGGUUACUUAAAGCAUGUCAGGACUUGGUUACCUGCCAGUUGCAGCUACUGAACAGCCUGCUGCAGCUUGGAGAAUGCCUUUGACUCACGUGCCAGCCUCCAAACAGCUUUUCCUGCCCUGGGGCCCUCUUCCCGCUAAUAAAUGAAAAAUUAGAAGAACUUGACAUUAGUUUUUUUAUCAGCUUUAAGACACAAUAGGAACAGCGUGUAGCAUUGAAUUUUUGGAAUAGCCUUUUUGCAAUAUUGUCGCAUGCUGCUAUAUCACAUAUUGUGUAAUAAAGCUUUCAUUAAAGUUAAAUUAUGCAAUUUUCACUAUAAGCUCACACUGUAACAUUUAUUGUAUAUUUUUUUGCAAAUUAGUGGGUUUCUAAAUUAAGCCCUCAAAACCAUGCCAUGGAUGGCCUUGUGUUCCUUAAACACAUUGCAGCUUCACUUCUCAGGAAUGGGGAGACUCAAUCAUCUGAUGCACGAUGGUUUGGGUUUUUUCAAAAGAGCUUAUUUCUAUUCCAGAAUAUCUAUAUUGCCAUUUCCCUCUGCUUGAUGAGCUCUUUGAAGUCUCAGCUUGAGCAGACUAAGAUGUACACGUAUACCUUAAAUAGAACAUGGGAACUGCCAAGACAUUGUUUCAAUAAAAGUUUCUGAGUUAUUUUUUAACUUUCUUCAAGCCCAUAAAGUGUCCUUUAGCUAUAGAGAAGUCACCAAUGACUAACUUUGAUAAAGGCAGCUGUCCCAUCUGGGACUUGUGAGUACUUCUGCCUCUUGCCAGCUGUGUGCUAUUGCUUUUAAAGAGCGUCCUGGGGAAGGGACUGUUUUGGGGGUGAUGCAUGAGCAAGCUGAAGCUUCUGUGGGUGUUUAGUGCUGCCCUGAGCAUGGAGGCACCGCCAUGUCAUGGACUAGCAUUCCCAUACAGUGCACGUUCCUGGCCAAUGGCUGUGGGUUGGACCUGUGCAAAUCAAGAGGCUUUCAUGCCAGGCUGGAUCCCAUUGGAAAAAGUCACAAUUUCCUAUCGCUGCCAGAAAGCGAAGCCACAGCGCAGGAAGCAGAGGCAGCGUUGACAGUAGGGGACCAAGUCUGGAACCAAACUUGUGAUUAUGACUCACAUGUGACUGUGAUUCUAACUGACAAAAUCUUAAAUGUACAAGAAAAGUAUUUUUAAAUGCGUAAAAGCUUGCUUUGUCAUGAGGGCAUUGUUACAGACAGCUGCACUGUUCCUUGGUAGAAGGCUUUGUGCCUGUAAGGUGUCCGUGCAGGACAGGUUACAUAUGAGCAAGCAGCCAGAGUGGAAAAGGACCUGAUGUGACUUCCACUGCAGUCUUACAUGGUGGUGAAACAAAUGUAUGUUUCACAUAGAGUGCUUGUUCAAGCUUAUUCAGUGAAAUAGCCGUUCCUAUUUUUUCUUCCUCUAGAUUCCCAAUAGGAGGGAUAGCUCUUUUAUUCCUACCAGACAUGUGCAUUUCUAAACUGCCCAUCCCUGGAACAGAUUCUGUGUGAUGGUCUUCUGUAACUGGAUCAUUUUUGUGAUAUUUUCUGCAGAUUGCAGCAGGUAGCAAAUAGUUUUAGUCACAGCUUUCAAAUACUGUAAUUUAAUGUUCCAGAUAGUGGUGUAUGAUGUUAUUUUGACUUACCAUUAUACUAUUUUUGGAAGAUAAGUACAUAAUAUGAAAAACAAAAACAAGAAAAAAACCUCCCACCAUUAAAUUAUUCCAGUAUUUUCCUAUGAGGCUAUAACACAGACAUAGUGUGGAAUGAAAAGAAUUGCUGGAUAUCCUUUUUACAUGAGAACUGUGAUUUCCUAAUAAACAUAGUAUUUCUUGCUGAAGAAGAUACGUA